UAGGGAAUCUUCCACAAUGGGCGCAAGCCUGAUGGAGCAACGCCGCGUGAGUGAAGAAGGUCUUCGGAUCGUAAAACUCUGUUGUUAGAGAAGAACACGAGUGAGAGUAACUGUUCAUUCGAUGACGGUAUCUAACCAGCAAGUCACGGCUAACUACGUGCCUG
rnacentral:rRNA from 1 species